CACCUGCGCCACAAGUGGCAAUCAUGUAUUUGGUCUAAAGCGUUCGUAGCCGGUCUAAUCAGUCUUCUGUGAAAUUGUUGGGCUCAACUCAACGGCGUGCAGAAGAUACUAUCAGACUAGGAACUGGGGGGAGGUAGGAGUAUUCUUAGGGGAGCGGUAAAAUGUGAUAAUCCUAGGAAGACUACCAGUGGCGAAGGCGCCUACCUAAAACAGCUUCGACGGUGAGGAACGAAGGCUAGGGGAGC
rnacentral:rRNA from 1 species